UAAAACUCACAGUGACAAAGAGACAGAGUAGGGUUCGAGGCCCCUGUUCCUGAGGACUUGAAGGCGGUUUUACAUACUGGUCAGACACGGCUGGAAGGCAAGGUCAAGUUUAAAGUUGCAGUCCAGCCAGCAUGAGAACCGCCAUGCGAGCGUAGAGACACAGGCAGCAGCAAAAGGCCCAUUGCCCACAUCCCCUCACUCUUAAUUUUCUGUCUCUUUUUAAAAUUCUGGGCUCUGACUCUGUUCGGCUGCCCAGAAUUUUUUGGUGCCUUCGUGGGGUUUUUGGGGCGGUGUUUACCGACUCUUUUCUGCCUCCGCCCUGCUCAGCCAGGGCUUUGAGCCUCUUCGGUUUUCCAGCCAGACCCGGAAAAACGAAAACACAGCUUGGGGAGCCCCCACUAGCCGGCGCCUGUGCCAGCUCACCUCUGGCCAUGGCGCAGCUGCCGGUGCACACGGCGGCCAAGGCCAGCUCCACAUUCUUCCCUCCCCCUCCCACUUCACCGGAGCCCCGAACCCUGCGAGCAGAGAAAGGGUCUCAGCUCCACAGACGACUGGGUCCCUCCUCACCAAAAAUGGUGAGACAAGAUUUCAUCUGUCGGCCGAGGAGCCACAAGCAGGUAGGUACCACAAAGCCACUAGUGCACAGGGACUCAGAAAAGACGGCAGGAGCCCAAGGAAAACUCCAAUUUGAGUACAGCCCUGACUUGUUUCCCCCAGAGAGUCCCUGAGCAAGGAGACCUCCACGCCACACACACCAUUUCAGAACAACCAGGUUCCAGACUCCCGUGAGGAGCAUCUCCCACUGCACAGCCUUGGCCAGCCGCGCCCGGACUCCUCAGAGCUGGCGCAAACUCCGGCCUCCAAAACUCGGCUCUGGGAGGCCUAAGUGACUCCGAAGCCGGCGGCAGCCGCGGCAGCGGCCGUGGUGGUGGAAGAGCUCUUUUCCCCGACAGUGCCACUGAUCGCUCUUCACUGGAGCUGGAAACAGCCUUCGCGGAAAGGACCGGAGCAUGCGUUAGAAGCAGAGGGAGCUUGGUGAAGGGCUCGGCUGGAAGGAGGAAACGCCUUCUCGCAGUGCGCGGCCAGCCCGCGGGGGACACCGGCUUGCUGGACUGCAGGGGCCCGUGCCGCCCAGGGAGUGACCUGCGGGUCACUCAGCCGGGGCGCUGGGCGAGCGCGGGACGGCCCGGAGAAUUCCGUGCGGCUGCGACGGGAAAAGGACGAGGGGUCUCUGCACCCGACGCUGCCAAUGGCCCAAAGGAAUUUUACCCGCGAGCGCCCACCCCACCCUAGCUUGAUGCUUACGCCCGCAACAAAACAGGAAACCAGGACUGGGCAGUGCAUUCUUUAAGUCAACAAAUACACUGAAGACUUCGAGCGUUUGAAGGAAGUAGGGGGUUUGCACGUAAGCCUGGCCCCGCCGGGCUCGGCUUUCUCACUGAGAAAGCGGCGCAGGCAGCCAGGCGGCCUGGGCCCGCGGGGGUCCAUCUCGCCCUAGACUCCUAAGAACUCCCACGGCCCUGUUCCCAGCUGCGAAUUCUUAAUGCACAACGCGAUGGAGGGAAGGAAAUUCACCAGCGCAGCGACGAGGAAGGGGAACUCAGGACCCCUUCAAGUACACACUGAGGUGUGAUCAGAGUUUUAUGGGCACUUUAUAUGCUGUAAUCAUAACGAUGUGUGUGCCUUGAUAUGCACGCAUAUUCACGCAUCAAACGUGCAUACACACACAGAGUGAAUGUACGCAUCCAAUGUCAUGUGGGUGAAAUACAGGCAUCAUACCCAGCCCUACGAAAAAAAAAUUCACCCUGUCGGACCAGGCUGGUGACAUACUUCGCUGGCGCAUCUCCUUACUCACUCUUACUUUUCCGACCCCUCACCAUUCCCUCUCCUGUGGCUUGGUAAAUACACCUGUCCCCCGUGGAAGGUGAGUCCUGGACUGGCGUUGCCCGGUUCGCAUGUCCUCCCCAGAACCUCCGUCUGGCUCCAGGGACCCUCACUGAGCGGGUCUAGAGCACCCAGCACUUUUCAAGGAGCAGCCGCGGUUCCUUUGUCCCGCGGCUCCAGCCCCGUUCGGCCCAGCUCUCAGGGAAACGAAGCGCUCAGUAAGAACUUUUGAUAUUAGUUUGUAUGGGUAUUUACACUCUGGUGAGGGGAGCUGAGUACGGAAGCUCCAUUAAUCAUACCCCAACCUUGGGUUUAGAUAUUCAGUUUAUGGGUUGGGAGAGGGAGUUUGCCGUAAAGAAAGCAUCAAGGUUGGCCGCUGACUCCAGAGAAACGAAAAGGGAGCAAGGUCGUUUUCUGUUUCUGGAAAUCAAGAAUUAGGAAUGGGCAACUACAGGUGCUAACCAACACACCACUUUUUUGUUUUUUGGUAGCCCUUUGGCAGGGAUAGUUUUUCCACCUUUGCCCGAUACAAUUUUAAAAAAAAAUCCUUUUAUUAUGGAAUUUGUCAAACACACACACACCACCACAGGAUUUCAAAGAUCUGUUAUAUUUCAAGAUUGAGUAAAAGGGCUUGAAAUUGGGUUAUUGCAAAGAAACUCUAGAAAAAACUUGAGGGUUCACCCAGGAGUAAGCUGGACAAAAAAGGGGUUUGAGGGGUGGACCCAUCUUGCCUAAAAAUCUUGUCUCAUCUUUCUAAAAAUUACAUAUGAAAGAGGAAGAUUUAUGUUACUUUUUUAUAUGAGAGAAUCGUCCUCUAAUAGAAAAUUUCUAUUGCUGCAUCAGAAUUAUGGAGGAACACAAAAAACAUACCUCAGUCCUUAGUGUGUCCUAAAUUAACACAUAUUCACUUAUUAGUGGGUAAAUGACUAUAUUUCAUUUCAGCACAACUUCUCCCCUGGUAGAAACUCAAAAGAAAUUCCUAAUGAUUAAACUAGGAAAGUUUGCACUGAAUUGAUGGCUUAUCAGAGCAACUGCAGUUUUCAGGAAGAAAUUCAAUGCCAUGCAUUGAAAAUAUCCCCCUAGCAAUAAGGGAUUAUUUUAAAAAAAGAAUGAAUAAAGAUGUUAUGGUUUCUUUUGUUUUAA
rnacentral:lncRNA from 1 species